GCAGAUCAGGUGGAAUGCCAGAAAUUUUACCAGAUGUUGAUAGGAUGAAUAUUUUGUAUACUUUUGAUGUGUCAUUUACAGGUUGGAUGAUGCUGCAGCUUUAAUUAGUCUCUAUCAUAUCAUCCAUCCUUCAGCCAAAUCAGCAGGAACCAAACUUACACUUGGCCAGGAAAUUGCAUUUGUUAAGGAGUAUAUUGACAAGGAUUCAAAAAUGAAAGUAGCCCUAGAACUAGCCCUAAUGCCGUACAGUGAGCAACCUGAAAAAGUUAUCUCUUCAAGUAGCUAGUAUCUCCAUUUCUGUAACCUUGUAGGUCUGUAAAAAUAUAUGUUAGUGUUAA